AGCUGGGGGUGGUUUAUGGUGUUCUCUAAACAGUUAACAUUUUCAAGAGCGUAAACCCCCAAGUAUUUUGUCUUUGGUGUGGUUUCUGUUAGCAAAAAGCUUGGGUAGCCGUUAUGCUUUGAUUUUGACAUUAGACUAGACCAAGGUCAACAUAUGAUGCAUGAUUUAGGAUGUAUUAUCAAGUAUAUACUCGGGUAACAGUGUUACAAGUGUUACACUAUCUUUAUUUAGGGUUAG